AGAGGACUGGAAGACGCUGCCACAGCCGCACGCACUCUAGCCUGAUGCUACAGGUCUGUCACUGAUGAUACUAAAAGUUACGCGGUUGACAGAUGCUAUUUACAGCCAGAACUGAACAAACUCAAACACAAUUCUAUGUCGAACAGUCAGGGAAAAUAAAGUUAAAACACCAGCAAUUCCCAUGCCAUAUCAUUUAUACAUAUCUUUGUGUUUGGAAUUCACUUCUGAAAUUCACUUCCUCUUGUGGGCUGGCUGGUGUAAGACAUAAAAGUGAGCUCUGGGUCACUUUGGUCUUUUUUGAUUCAAUUUGAGCACCUUCCACCCCAUGAUUGUCCUAGGCAUUGGAGAGAAGGUCUGUGCCCCUCUAUCAGAUGGUGAGUUCCCUGAGGACAAGAGCCUUAUGAAUUCAUUGGCGAUGUCUCCCCAGUCCAUCCCAUCCCACACACACAGUGCCUAGUGCACCACUUUGGGCAUUUUGGCACUUGGUAAAUAUUUGCUGAACGGAAGAAAGAAACUCUUUUUUUCACUUCUCUUCUGCUGUCACUGCUAGGCAUUACAUGUCUUUUUUUUUUUUUUUUAAAUUUAAGUUUUAGGGUUCAUGUGCACAUUGUGCAGGUUAGUUACAUAUGUAUACAUGUGCCAUGCCGGUGCGCUGCACCCACCAACUCGUCAUCUAGCAUUAGGUAUAUCUCCCAAUGCUAUCCCUCCCCCCUCCCACCACCCCACCACAGUCCCCAGAGUGUGAUAUUCCCCUUCCUGUGUCCAUGUGAUCUCAUUGUUCAAUUCCCACCUAUGAGUGAGAAUAUGCGGUGUUUGGUUUUUUGUUCUUGCGAUAGUUUACUGAGAAUGAUGAUUUCCAAUUUCAUCCAUGUCCCUACAAAGGACAUGAACUCAUCAUUUUUUAUGGCUGCAUAGUAUUCCAUGGUGUAUAUGUGCCACAUUUUCUUAAUCCAGUCUAUCAUUGUUGGACAUUUGGGUUGGUUCCAAGUCUUUGCUAUUGUGAAUAAUGCCGCAAUAAACAUAUGUGUGCAUGUGUCUUUAUAGCAGCAUGACUUAUAGUCAUUUGGGUAUAUACCCAGUAAUGGGAUGGCUGGGUCAAAUGGUAUUUCUAGUUCAAGAUCCCUGAGGAAUCACCACACUGACUUCCACAAUGGUUGAACGAGUUUACAGUCCCACCAACAGUGUAAAAGUGUUCCUAUUUCUCCACAUCCUCUCCAGCACCUGUUGUUUCCUGACUUUUUAAUGAUUGCCAUUCUAACUGGUGUGAGAUGGUAUCUCACUGUGGUUUUGAUUUGCGUUUCUCUGAUGGCUAGUGAUGAUGAGCAUUUUUUCAUGUGUUUUUUGGGUGCAUAAAUGUCUUCUUUUGAGAAGUGUCUGUUCAUGUCCUUUGCCCACUUUUUGAUGGGGUUGUUUGUUUUUUUCUUGUAAAUUUGUUUGAGUUCAUUGUCGAUUCUGGAUAUUAGCCCUUUGUCAGAUGAGUAGGUUGUGAAAAUUUUCUCCCAUUUUGUAGGUUGCCUGUUC
rnacentral:lncRNA from 10 species